rnacentral:rRNA from 1 species
UACGAAGGGGGGCUAGCGUUGCUCGGAAUCACUGGGCGUAAAGGGCGCGUAGGCGGAUUCUCAAGUCCGGGGUGAAAUCCCACAGCUCAACUGUGGAACUGCCUCGGAUACUGGGAGUCUCGAGGGUGGCAGGGGUAUGCGGAACUAUCGGUGGAGCGGUGAAAUGCGUUGAUAUCGAUAGGAACUCCGGUGGCGAAGGCGGCAUACUGGUCCACUUCUGACGCUGAGGCGCGAAAGCCAGGGGAGCAAACGGG